rnacentral:rRNA from 1 species
AACGAACGCUGGCGGCAUGCCUAACACAUGCAAGUCGAACGAACCCUUCGGGGUUAGUGGCGCACGGGUGCGUAACGCGUGGGAAUCUGCCCUUUGCUUCGGAAUAACAGUUAGAAAUGACUGCUAAUACCGGAUGAUGUCUUCGGACCAAAGAUUUAUCGGCAAGGGAUGAGCCCGCGUAGGAUUAGGUAGUUGGUGGGGUAAAGGCCUACCAAGCCGACGAUCCUUAGCUGGUCUGAGAGGAUGAUCAGCCACACUGGGACUGAGACACGGCCCAGACUCCUACGGGAGGCAGCAGUGGGGAAUAUUGGACAAUGGGCGCAAGCCUGAUCCAGCAAUGCCGCGUGAGUGAUGAAGGCCUUCGGGUCGUAAAGCUCUUUUACCAGGGAUGAUAAUGACAGUACCUGGAGAAUAAGCUCCGGCUAACUCCGUGCCAGCAGCCGCGGUAA